rnacentral:rRNA from 1 species
AGAAUGACUCUCGACAACGGAUAUCUCGGCUCUCGCAUCGAUGAAGAACGUAGCAAAAUGCGAUACUUGGUGUGAAUUGCAGAAUCCCGUGAACCACCGAGUCUUUGAACGCAAGUUGCGCCGGAAGCCUUCUGGCUGAGGGCACGUCUAUUUGGGCGUCAUGC